rnacentral:lncRNA from 10 species
CGCCACCCCAUUCCACAGCCUGAGGUGCCACCAAAGCCAUAAGCCCAGGGGAGUCUCUCACACCCCAUUCUCCUAGGGCCCAUGUACCCCACGCCCACCUCCACCCCAGGAGCCGAAGGCCGGCAGGGAGCCUGGAGAGCCUCCUUGAUGGGAGAACUGCGGAGCUUGCCCCUCGGAAAAGUGCAUGGGGUGGAGAACAGGGAAGGAGAAAAAAACAACAACUGGGUACUCGCAGCCCCACCGCGGUGUCCGCUUCGCCGGUGGGAGAGGAUCCUCGCCGCCCUGAAUCCUUGAAAUCCUUGCCGAGCAUCUGCUCUGUACAGGCCGUGUACUAAGUGCUAGAGAGAUGGUGUGGGGUAGAUAAUGGCUUCCAGAGAUGUUCACGUCCUGAUCCACAGAUCCUAUAUACAGAGGACGUUAAAUAACCUCCUGGCAUCAUUCACGAGGACCUGAAUGGGAGCAAAUGGGAUGGUGGAAACCAGUUUGGCAAUGUACCAGAUUUACUAUGCAGCAUGAGAAGAG